rnacentral:rRNA from 1 species
AAAAACUCCGGUGGUAUGGGAUGGGCCCGCGUCUGAUUAGCUAGUUGGCGGGGUAAAGGCCCACCAAGCCGACGAUCAGUAGCCGACCUGAGAGGGUGGCCGGCCACAUUGGGACUGAGACACGGCCCAAACUCCUACGGGAGGCAGCAGUGGGGAAUAUUGCGCAAUGGGGGAAACCCUGACGCAGCAACGCCGCGUGAGUGAGGAAGUAUCUCGGUAUGUAAAGCUCUAUCAGCGGGGAAGAAGGAAGACGGUACCCGACUAAGAAGCCCCGGCUAACUACGUGCCAGCAGCCGCGGUAAUACGUAGGGGGCGAGCGUUAUCCGGAUUUACUGGGUGUAAAGGGAGCGUAGACGGCGUCGCAAGUCUGAAGUGAAAGCCCGUGGCUCAACCGCGGAACCGCUUUGGAAACUGUGAGGCUGGAGUGCUGGAGAGGUAAGCGGAAUUCCUGGUGUAGCGGUGAAAUGCGUAGAUAUCAGGAGGAACACCGGUGGCGAAGGCGGCUUACUGGACAGUGACUGACGUUGAGGCUCGAAAGCGUGGGGAGCGAACAGGAUUAGAUACCCUGGUAGUCCACGCGGUAAACGAUGAGUGCUAGGUGUCGGGGGGCAAAGCCCCUCG